GGACAACUGUCAUUUAAUUUUAAAAAAAAUUAAUAAAAGUCGCGACAGUUAGUCUCUCAACCGCCCUAAACUCUAUAUUGCGACGGUUAUCUCACCUGCCGCACCUCCCAUAUUUAAAUUCAUAACAAUCACUUCACGUUCCUACCCCUAAAUCCAUCCUUAAAUGCAAUAACAAUGUAAACAAAAUUUUACGACUGUUGCUCCACCCGCCGCCACCCAAAUAUAAAGUUGGCUCCCUUCCCCCUAAAUUCUAAAGCGCGAACAUCAAAGGGUUUUUUUUAUUAAUUUUUCUCUUCUUCUUCCUCUAUCAUCUUCAACCGACCAUCAAACAUGAAUAUAUCCUAUCAAUGAGUUUACUCAUUCUGCUACCUUAAACGACUAACUUUUUUAUUAAGAAACUUCUCAAGUGCGACGAGUAUUUGAUUCUCCGGUUUUCUACAUUAAGAUUACGCAAAGGCAAAAGCCCGGUUUUGGAUUCCACCACCAUCCUUGCAAACGCUCCUGAGGUAA